UCUUUGUCUGUUUGAUUGUCUUCCUUAUUUUGUUCCUAUUUGUUUAUCAUUAUUCCGGCUCCCCUUUUUUUUUCUUCAUUUUUUUCAGAACACCAAAGGGACGACCGA
rnacentral:ribozyme from 11 species